rnacentral:tRNA from 1 species
ACCCAGCUGGCUCAGUCAGUAGAGCAUGAGACUCUUGAUCUUGGGGUUGUGAGCUCCAGCCCCACGAUGGGGC